GGUCUGUUUAGCCAGGAACUGGAUUUUGGUUUGAGUGCAUCAAAUAUCAUCACUUUGAGUCACAACACGUCAGUGCUGUGAGCAAGAUGCUCAGGGGCAGAUCAGGGAAUUACAGAGUCAUGGAAUCAUGGAAUUACAGAAUCAUGGGAUCAUGGAAUUACAGAGUCAGGGAUCAUGGAAUCACAGAGUCAUGGAAUCAUGGGAUCACGGAAUUACAGAGUCAGGGGUCAUGGGAUCAGGGAAUUACAAAAUCAUGGAAUCAUGGGAUCAGGGAAUUACAGAGUCACAGGGUCAGGGGGUCAUGGGAUUACAGAGUCGGGGGUCAUGGAAUUACAGAGUCAUGGAAUCAUGGGAUCACAGAAUUAGAGAGUCAGGGGUCAUGGAGUCACAGGAUCAUGGAGCCAUGGAAUCACAGAGUCACGGGAUCAUGGAAUCACAGAGUCAUGGAAAUAAUGGAAUCAUGAAAUUACAGAGUCAUGGAAAUCACGGAAUCACAGAGUCAUGGAAUCAUGGGAUCACAGUCACAGAAAUCACGGAAUCACAGAACCACAGAAAUCCCAGAACCACAAGGUUGGAAGAGACCUUUAAGAUCAUUGGGUCCAACCCAUGCCCUAGCACCACCUCAACUAAUCCACCCCGGCCCAAGAGGAUCUCCCAAAUCCAUCCUGACCCAAAAGGAUCAUCCCAAAUCCAUCCUGACCCAACAGGAUCAUCCCAAAUCCAUCCUGACCCAACAGGAUCAUCCCAAAUCCAUCCUGGCCCAACAGGAUCCAUCCUGACCCAACAGGAUCCCCCAAACUCAUCCUGGCUCAACAGGAUCACCCCAAAUCCCUCUCUGCCCGUGCUGUGGGAGGCACUUUCGUCACCCAGGAAUGCACCACGACCUGAUCCACGUGGGAAUCACCACAGACAGGAGCUGCUGGAUUCCUCGUGGAGGCAGCGAGCCCAGAAAUCCUCCACAAGACUCCUCCUCCUCCACCAAAAGUAGUUUUUCCUUGGAAAAGCCUCCCCGGGCCAAGGGAAAGGUUCAACUCCCUGUGAAAUGGCACCAAUGUCCCAGAAGAUGUAAAAAUGCCCUCACCCCUGUGGGGGUGGGCUUUGGUGAACACCUUUCCUGAAAGCCUUCCAAGAAAAAAAUCCAAUUUUAUACUGCCUCCUCACUUUAAUCACCCCCCCAAUCUCGUUUGCAAAUCGAAAAAAGACAACUAUUUUGGGCACCCCCAAGGCAGAGCUCUGAGCCCCUUCCUCAAAAUAAUCCCUGCCAAGUCUCACAGUCCUCCUCCCCCUGCGAGAACAGACUCCACUCCCACCUGGAACCCCCCUCAAAAUCCCACACCACCCCUCAGAAUAAAGUGCCCAAAUCACCUCCCCCCCAAGCUGCCCCCCCCCCCCCCCCCCCCCCCCCCCCCCCC
rnacentral:lncRNA from 12 species